rnacentral:rRNA from 1 species
CCAAUAGCGUAUAUUAAAGUUGUUGCAGUUAAAAAGCUCGUAGUUGAAUUUUAGGCCUGGCCGGGCGGUCCGUCUUUGGCGAGUACUGUCCUGUGUCGGGUCUUCCUUCUGGUGAACCUGUAUGUCCUUUAUUGGGUGUGCUGGGGAGCCAGGACCAUUACCUUGAAAAAAUUAGAGUGUUUAAAGCGGGCUAUUGCUUGAAUAGAUUAGCAUGGAAUAAUAGAAUAGGACCUUGUGGUUCUAUUUUGUUGGUUUCUAGGACCACCGUAAUGAUUAAUAGGGAUAGUUGGGGGCAUUAGUAUUCAAUUGUCAGAGGUGAAAUUCUUGGAUUUAUUGAAGACUAACUACUGCGAAAGCAUUUGCCAAGGAUGUUUUCAUUAAUCAAGAACGAAAGUUAGGGGAUCGAAGACGAUCAGAUACCGUCGUAGUCUUAACCAUAAACUAUGCCGACUAGGAAUCGGGCGACGUUAUUUUCAUGACUCGCUCGGCGCCUUAUG